rnacentral:tRNA from 1 species
GCAGUGGUGGUUCACUGGUAGAACUCUCACCUUCCGUGUGGGAGACCCAGGUUCAAUUCCUGGCUAAUACA